GAGGCGCCGGCCGGGGGGGAGAACACCGUGGGGGAGUUGAGCCGCUCAUCACUGAAGCUGAAGCUGUUUCUGUUCAGAGACUCUGCACCUGUCGGACGGAGAGAGAGAGAGGACAACAUGAACACACACACACAUUGAGAUCAGAGCUGCACCUGGUUUUGUGCCACAUCAUCUCAGACGAUCUCAUCACGUCAAUCAAACUUCAUAUUUAUCAGACACAAGAGAAACUGGCUCGUCAGUUGAAGCUGGAGCGACACCUGGUGGCGACACGCCGCAGCUGCACCUGACGUCUGGAAGCUCAGGAUCUGAGUGGAGCAGAUCGGCAGCGUCCAGGAGGAGAGACCCUGCUGAGACCUCCACACCUCCGGGGCCCAGUGGAACACGACCAGCAGAUGGAUGAACGCUCCGCGUGUGUGCAGCUGCACGUGUCCGUUGACCGUGCGACUUCGCG